rnacentral:tRNA from 1 species
AUCCCUGUAGCGCAAUGAAUAGCGCGUUGGACUUCUAAUUCAAAGGACGUGGUCUCGAAUCCCACCUGGGAUA